UACGAAGGGGGCUAGCGUUGUUCGGAAUUACUGGGCGUAAAGCGCACGUAGGCGGGUUGUUAAGUCAGGGGUGAAAUCCCGGAGCUCAACUCCGGAACUGCCUUUGAUACUGGCAAUCUAGAGACUGGAAGAGGUUAGUGGAAUUCCCAGUGUAGAGGUGAAAUUCGUAGAUAUUCGGAGGAACACCAGUGGCGAAGGCGGCUCACUGGCUCGGUACUGACGCUGAGGUGCGAAAGCGUGGGGAGCAAACAGG
rnacentral:rRNA from 1 species